UACGAGACGGUGACCUCGCUGGGAUUUCCCAUUCGCCAACCUGAGCUGAUUGCCUGGCUGGAGCGAGGGGAAGAGCCGUGGGUGCCCGAUCUCCAGGCCUGCGAGGAAAGAGAGAUCCCGAGAGGCACCCACACAGGUAAGAAAGCUGGGACAGAAAGGGAAGCAAAAUAGAUAAGAUUGAAGAUCAGAAGAAGCUAAAACUGCACAGGUUGCAAAUUAUCCAGAAAGGCUGAACGGUGAAAGUCUCUGUUAACUAAGCAUCCCCUGAGAUGAGUGCAUUUCAGUUUCAGUGAACUGCAGAGGGCUUGUGGCCCAGCACAAGAAAGCAGGAAAAUGAGUACCAGUGACACCGCCAAUAAACUAGAGCUGGCCAGACUGGAAGCAAAAGAGAAAGAAAACGAACAUAAGAGAUGCCUAGAACUAAGACGAUUAGAACUUAAUGCGGUGGAGGCAGAAAAAGCCAGGGAAGAAGCUGCCCACAAGAGAGCUAUGGAGGCAGAGACAGCAAGAGUGGAGGCAGAGGCAGCUGCCCCCAGAGAGCUAUGGAGGCCCAGAGGGAGGCCCAGAAACAUGAACUGGCUGUUAUGGAGUUGAAGGGACAAAAUCCUCCACCUGCUGGCUCCACUUUGUUGUGUAUUUGGUUGUCAUGGUUUUUGGUUCCUGUGGUAACUGAGUUAGA